AGCAGCCGCGGUAAUUCCAGCUCCAAUAGCGUAUAUUAAAGUUGUUGCAGUUAAAAAGCUCGUAGUUGAAUUUCGGGAUUCGUCCAUUGGUCAGGCUUAACUGUCUGUACUGAUGUGUCGGAUUUCUACCUUCUGAAGAACCUUCAUGCCAUUAAUUUGGUGUGUUGGGGAAUCAGGACUGUUACUUUGAAAAAUUAGAGUGUUUAAAGCAGGCUAACGUCUGAAUACAUUAGCAUGGAAUAAUGAAAUAGGACGGUACGGUUCUAUUUUGUUGGUUUCUAGGAUCGCCGUAAUGAUUAAUAGGGAUAGUUGGGGGCAUUAGUAUUCAAUUGUCAGAGGUGAAAUUCUUGGAUUUUAUUGAAGACUAACUACUGCGAAAGCAUUUGUCAAGGAUGUUUUCAUUAAUCAAGAACGAAAGUUAGGGGAUCGAAGACGAUCAGAUACCGUCGU
rnacentral:rRNA from 1 species